rnacentral:tRNA from 1 species
GGUUUCGUAGUCUAGUUGGUUAUGGCAUCUCGUUAACAUGGUUAACAUAUAGCUUGGCUACCGAGAAGGUCCCCGGUUCGAGCCCGGGCGAAACCA